rnacentral:rRNA from 1 species
AGUGAACGCUGGCGGCGUGCCUAAUACAUGCAAGUCGAACGGAGAUUAAGUAGCUUGCUAUUUAAUCUUAGUGGCGCACGGGUGAGUAAUAUAUAGCUAACUUGCCCAUUACUAUGGGACAACAGUUGGAAACGACUGCUAAUACCUUAUACUCCGUAUCUAUAUAAGUAGAUACGGGAAAGUUUUUCGGUAAUGGAUAGGGCUAUAUCGUAUCAGCUAGUUGGUAAGGUAAUGGCUUACCAAGGCUAUGACGCGUAACUGGUCUGAGAGGAUGAUCAGUCAAACUGGAACUGAGACACGGUCCAGAAUCCUACGGGAGGAAGCAGUAGGGAAUAUUGCUAAAUGGGGGAAACCCUGAAGCAGCAACGCCGCGUGGAGGAUGACACUUUUCGGAGCGUAAACUACUUUUCUUGGGAAAGAAUUAUGACGGUACCCAAGGAAUAAGCACCGGCUAACUCCGUG